rnacentral:misc_RNA from 1 species
GAUGAAGAACGCAGCAAAAUGCGAUAAGUAAUGUGAAUUGCAGAAUUCAGUGAAUCAUCGAAUCUUUGAACGCACAUUGCGCCCGCCAGUAUUCUGGCGGGCAUGCCUGUCCGAGCGUCAUUUCAACCCUCGAACCCCUCCGGGGGGUCGGCGUUGGGGAUCGGCCCUUUCACCGGGUGCCGGCCCCUAAAUACAGUGGCGGUCUCGCCGCAGCCUCUCAUGCGCAGUAGUUUGCACACUCGCACCGGGAGCGCGGCGCGUCCUCGUCCGUAAAACACCCCAAACUUCUGAAAUGUUGACCUCGGAUCAGGUAGGAAUACCCGCUGAACUUAAGCAUAUCAAUAAGCGGAGGA